UUUUUUUUUUUUUUGCGUGACAAGUAUUGUUAUCGCAGAUGCAAUUUGGGAUCUUUUGCAUGAUUACUUAGUUUUAGAACUUAUAUUUGAAUGGUUAUUAGGGAUUAGACUUGUUAAUUUGUGCAAAGUAUGGAAGAAAAUGAUUGAAUAUACUAUAUUUUUCUUUCUUAGUUCUAUACAAGAGGACAAUUUAGGAAUUUUGUGAAAAAAUCUAUCUUGUUAGACCUAUGUUGUUACUAAACAGUAAAAGUUAUGGUAGGUAUAUGUAAUUUUUAAAACGUGAGAGAAGUUCUUUGUAAUUGUUAAAAACCUCAAGGGAGAUUUGUGAAAUUAUCCCUUAAUAUUGUCAAUUCUUAGUUUAUACAUAGUUGACUAUGUUGUGUUAUACGUUACAUUUACUCUAAUACCUUCUUAGUGCUGUUAAGAAUAUUCGUCGAGAAAAUGUUACAUGCUGUGGAGGUGACAAAUCAUGUCCUUUUUGUUGCGAUUGACGUUCAUAAUAUCUCUUGUGCAAUGGGGGACUAGGAGUAGGACGAAUCAUUGGUCCAAGAGUUGAUGGCCUAGAUGGUGACAUAUUUAGAAUUUUAAUAGUUUUUCUAUUUAAGGACUUAAAGUCUCAUACCUGUAGUUGAGGAAAAUUAAUUUGUCAAUGAAAUACUACUUCAAUUCCUCCUCUGCCUGUUGCGUUUGUGGUUAAUCAAUCAGUGGCUUUAUUCUUAUAACCUAGCCGAUUCCUUGCCUAUACUAAAUUAACGCAUGUGAAAGCCAGGCCCAUUCUAAACGGACAAUGUAAACGUUCAUAUAAAACUUGCUUAUUAGUUGCAUUAUAAGGAGUAUAAUACUUCUCGAAAACUAAAAGUCGUGAAAUCGUUAAUGUUAGGAUCAUUAGUAUGAAGAUUAAUCCAAUAGAACGAGCUUUCUGGUUUAUUCAUCAACACCAUUGGCUGAAAGAAAUUCUAGACUUCAACGGAUUAAUUUUUUUAAAAAAAAAAUGCUCAAAUCUUGGUAUUCAAACUAAAACAACAGCAUAAUUUAGGUCAAAAGAUCAAAUUUCUUGGUCUACAUUCUAAAAAUUCAGACUUUUCUAGGAAAAACCAACUACUUCUAAAAUAGUUGGCUACCAAGGAGAGAUUUUAAAUCUCUACUUGGGUGUUGAUCCCUAGCCUGCAUUCUAAACAAUAUAGACUUUUCUGGAAAAAUUUCGCCAGUUCCCCUCAGUAUAGAAUAGAAGUGUAGAAUAAAAUCUAUCGUAUCCAAAAAAAAAAAAAAAACUAAAAACAAUAGCACCAAAAAGUCCAAACUUGAUUUUUCUUUCCUUUUUCACUUCAAAAGAAGAUUCCAAACCUUAGCAGAGGGAAAAGAGAAAGAAAAGAGAGUCAAAUUAGAGGCGUCAUUGUCAUCAAAAUAAUAAACCAAACAGUUAACCCAACAUGUAGUCCUCGUUUUCUCAAGUCUCUUCGUGGUGUACGAGCUGCCGAAUAGUGAAUUAAAUAGCUUCAUGUAUAGGCAAAGAAGGUCAAAAUAGCAUCUCAUCUCUAUUUGCAUUUGGUGAUGGUAUAUUGAUUUCUCCGUUCUUGUUAUCUCAUCUCUGCGUGCGCGUGAUGCUAGAAUGCAUUUUGUGAUGGUAUACUCGGUUUACUUAAACUAUCCACCAAUACCAAGUUUAAGAGUUAAGAAUGAUAUUGAAUGACAACGAACGUGUAUUUUUAGAGUUGGAACUAUGAAAAUACAUUUUAAAAAAUAUAAAAUGAUAAUUUAUUUGUAGAGUUGAACUAGAAUAUCACUUCACCAAUUAUAUUCUAUAUAUUUAAUUUCCUCAUCCAUAUAGGUUUUACAAAAAUCUAAGAGAUAUAUCGAAAAUUAUGUUGAAAUUGCUCUUUCAUUUACAUGUACCCAAAGUCAAUAUUGGGAAACAUAAAUUAACCUCAAAAUGUUUGCUUAUUACAAUAAAUUCAACAAAAAUAUCUGUUGGUGGAUUCAAAUUUUCAUGCUCUAUGUGCUUUGCUUUAGUGAAUAUUUUCUUGUUUUCGGUUGUUUGUUUCAUCACUGCACAAGAAAAGUAUGGCUUGUCUUGGAUUUUUCUUGGUUUCAGAAACCUGUAAUAGCUGCUACCUUGCAACCAGGUUAUAUUAUCAGUCGAGAGGAUCCUUAAUGAUGCCACUGGCGUGUAGGAGUUUGCUUGCUGCUGUUGAAAAAUGACUUGUAUUUUGUCCUCUUAUAAAAAAUACCUCUAUAUAUCAGUAAAUGCGCGGGGUAUUUGACACGUGUGGUUAAAGAGGAAUUUUUAGGUGCCUAUGAUUAGCAAGUAAAUGAAGAUAAAAAUAAGAUAACAGCACAUAUUAAGUAAAAUUAAGAAAAUAUAGCUUUUGCUAAAAACUAUUAUGAAAUGCUGAGUGUAAAAGCUGAAAAAAUAAUGCAGUCCCGGAAGCCAAAAGGAGAAAACCAAAGAUGUGAAGGAGGAAGAAUUGAAAGAGCCAUAAUUGAUGCUCAGACAAUAACUUAAUAGUAUACCCAUAUUAUGUUUAAUUAGGAUGUAAAUAGUGUUUUAUUGUUGGUAGAGAAGCUAUUUUAAACGGUUGAGAUUCAGACAUAGGAAAGUAGGGGUUGAUAUAAUUAUGAGUGUUUCAAACAAUUGAAAUGGAGUUUUACUGCAAUUACUGGGGUUAUCAGCAACGUGGCUUUAUUUUAAUUACAUAAUAAUCCCAUUUCAAUAAUUGCACAAAAACACAUGCUUAUAUGAAUUGGGCCAAAUGCAUAAAUGAUUGCCAAAUAAGCCCACAUUUCACAAAUAUCCAGAUGUGUCUAUAAAUACAAACUUUAAAUGUACAAACAUAGGGUUUUAAUGUAAAAACACCCAAACACAUGCUUCAAUCAGUUGUAUCAAAAACUUGAAAAAAAAGCAACACAUUUUUUAAAUUUCCAAAAUGCGCCUGCCCAUGCGGUUGAAAUUCAACUCCCUCUUUGACCAAAACUCAAUCUUAUAUGGUAUAAGGAUACUUGACGUUUCAUAUUAAUUGCUACUUCACUAGAAACAACGGUCACAUUAGCAACAUCCAGAUUGGACUUGAUAUAAUCAAGGGUAAAAUACCAAAAAACUUCCUGUAAUUUGACAAAUAUUCAAUUUAAUUCCCUCUGGUUUGGAAACCUACACUAUAACUUCAUGUGGUUUUGACUAAAUUGAAAAUUGGACAGAAAGUAUAAAAUCUAACGGUUGUCUGUGAAAUGUCAAUAUUUCCCCUACCAUAUGUGAGAUGCUUUUUAUUCAAUUUUCAAUUUAGUUGAAACCGUAGGGAGUCCUAAUAUAAUUUUGCAAACCAAAGAGAGUUCAAUUGAACAUUCGACAAAUCAUAGGGAGUUCAUUUAUAUAGGGACAAUAUUGACAUUUCACAUAUAAUCGUUAGAUUAAAUACUUUCCAUCCAAUUUUCAAUUUAGUUAAAAUCAUGGGGAGUUAUAGUGUAAAUUUUCAACUCAGAUGGAGUUAAAUUGAACAUUUAACAAACUAUAAGGAGAUUUUUGGUAUUUUACCCGAUAAUCAAAUAAUUACUUGGCUAGUUGUCAUAUGCAUCAGUAUCCCAUUCAGUAUUCAGAACAAAUUUUUGUUACUCAGAACAACUUAAACUAAUCAUAGAAGACAAAACUCCUCAAAGUUAACGCCCAAAAAACUAUAAGCCAGUUCCGGUGGAUAUGAACCAUCGAAACAAAACUUAUUGCAUUCACAUGCAGGAGGAUGGAAUCAUUACGUGAUUCAAAAAUUGAUCAAAUUAUAUGGUAGAAUUAAGUAAAUCUUAUAUAUACUGAGAGUGUAUACACUUUCACUGUUAAAUUUAUAAUAUCUAUGUAAAAAUUGAAUUUCAAAUUUAAUUUUUUUAUAAUUAUCAUUUAUCUAAUGAUGACAGUAUAUACGCUAUUGGCGUGGAAAGAUUAAUUCGGAAGAGUUUGUUUCCAUUUACAUAGUUGAUGAAUUGUCCUCGUUUGUUCCUUAAGGUGAGCAGUUGUCCAAGAAACAAAAGUAAUUGACGUGUGAUAUUUGACGUUUUGAACUUUGCUCCAAGUAUUUCGUCCUACUUAAACUGAAGAUACGUUAUUCUUUGGAUUAAUUAGAUUUGUUUCCGGUUUUUCUUUUAUCAAAUUAGUCUCCCUCAGAUUCAGAAGAGCCAAUUUGACUUGAGAGUCAACAAUUAUUAACCCCAUGCAAUUACAUUGGAACAGCUGUUAAUCCAAUACAGAGCCAAAAAGUGGUUAUUCAAUUUUUUUAGUUAUAUUUCAAGAUUAAAUGACACGAAUCCAAUAAAAUGGUCAGAAAAAAUAGAAAGCAAACCUAGUUCCAGAAGAAGAUAAAUAAACGUUCCCAUUCUAGAUGGCAAUCGUAGCAUCUUAUUUUGCGUCACUAUAGCAAUUGGCACAACAAACCAACGCAGUUGGGCUGAGUUGGCUACCACGAAUAGACUUAAAACUCUUCUUGGAUGUAGGUCAAGAAAUCAAAUUUCUUGAAUCUCCGGAAUUUCCGAAAAGUGUCACCAGGGGGUGCAUAAGCACCCAUUUGCACCGGUAGCGAUUCCGUCCUUUUUAGGUUCUCCAUUGACCUCUUUAGAUCCACCGCUUCUGCAUAAUGUAGAAUUGGAGUAAAAUUGGCUCAACAACUUAUGUCUGAUUUUUAAUCCCUAAUCACAUGAACAUUUGAGAGUUGAGAGCACUAAUUCCAGUUAAGGCAUUAUCUCAGCAAUAAGGAGCCAAGUAUUUAAAGUGAAUCUCCCCUAGAUUAAUGAUGAGUUAUAAUAGGAACUCACAAUUUUCUAGCAAAUGCGGCUCUUUUGAUAGGAACUCACAAUUUUCAGUCUGUGCUUUAUAAAUUGAUUCAACAUAAAAUAAAAAAUGAGAUCUCCAUUGGAUAAUGGUUGGGAGUUGCGUUGCCUUUUUAGAGGAGAUAUAUAGUUACGUUGAUACAUAAAAAUAAAUAAAUAUUGAGAUCUUAUGAUAUGAUACGAGCCUUUCAAAAGUUGAACAGGUAUUAGAAGUGCAUUUGGUUGAUUCAAUACUGAUGAAGGAAGUCACUAAAAACAAAUUUAUUAGAUUGCUAUAAUGAGGAAUAGCCCAAGAUUAGCAAGGAAGACUUUGAACAAUAUCAGAGUCAAAAGCGUGGCAGCAAAAUAUAUUAGAAACUAAACCUAGCAGGUUCGAUUUAUAUUUAGAAAUCUCAAUGUAUUUAAAAACAUUAGACCUGGCAAUUAUGCCCAAAACCCAACAACCCACCCACUAAUUUGAGAGGUUGGAUUGGGUAAGUUGGAUAUUGGGUCAAAUUUUGAGUUGGGUAAUAAAAACCCACAUAUAUUUUGGGCGAUUUGGGUAUUUGUGUUAAGCACCCAAUACCCAACUUAAAUUAAAAAAACAAAUAAACAAAUUACAAGGGAUGAGAUAUGGGAUACAAAACAUUUCAUUGUUCAUGAAACAGCAUGAGACAUGAGCCAAAGCAGGGCCUCCAUGUAUGGAUACUUAACAAAAUUAUAUGAGCUACUUAGCUAUAAUACCUAUGUGCAUGCGUCGACGUUUUAUUAUUUUCCUAUAUUCAGAGUAUUCCACUCCUUUUACUUCCAUAAUAUUUUUGGUCACUUCUUCUUUUGUCAUGCAAUCAAAUAUAAGCCCAUUUGGAUUGUUAUUUUUUGAAAAUUUUAUAAAAAAAAAUAUACUCUAACAAUUUAAUAUAUAAUAACAAAAUAAUUAAAAAAUACGUUCAAUAAAACAUAAAAAAAAUUUUGGGAAAACAUAACAAUCCAAGAACGUUUGCAACACCAUAUCAUAUGUGUGCCUUUCCCACUUCUUGUUUUACUAGUACGCCAUUCCCAUUCUCAGUUCUGGUAGACAAGCGCAGAGUUGGACAUUAAAGAGAUCUUAAUUGAUCAAGGCAACUACCCUUGCUUUCAUAACACGAUUCCUUCUUUAUUUUACUGCAAAAUACACACUACGCUAAAUCCAUUUCUGACACCACUAACCCACGCCAAAACCCCUAUCUCCUCCCAUAUCAUACAUGUGUAUUUUAGUGUGUCUAUAUGUGUAAAAAUAAAGUAUUUCAAAAGAGCUUAAAAAGUGAGUGUGCGUUUGUAUCUGUAAGUGUUUUAGUGUGUGAAAAUAUAUCUAUCUAUGUGAAAAUGUGUUUAUUGUGUGAAUUUUUUUUUUGUAUGUGAAAAUAUAUUUGAGAGAGUUUAUUUAUCAAAAUCUAUUAAUUAAUAUAUUGGGUCAUGGGUUUGAAAUGACCCAAUAUGAUCCAACCCAAAAUUAAUUCAAUCUAAAGUUGGACGAGUUAAAUGUAACCCAUUUAAAUGAAAACCCAAUAUUAACCCGCCCAAUUGCUAGGUAUAAGAAACAUAUUAUCAUUUUCACACUACAUCACUUGAUAGAUAAUUUUUUUAAAAUAAAAAAUCAUACUUUGAUUAAACCUGCAUUAAUGGCAGAAAUUACAUCACACAUGCACAGAUACAAUAUAUUUGAAGAACCCCAGCAAAUACUAUAAAUCUACAGAAUUAAUAAAAUUACACUGUAAAUCUCUAACAAUACUAAAAAAUCAGUUUUAUAAAGAUAACACUUAUAACCGCCACAACUGUGCAUGUUUGAACUGUCAGAUCUACUGAUUAACUGUUUCAAAUUCACAUUCAUGAUAGAUACUUUUUACUAAAUGUUAUUUGGCAAGGCCAAGCAUUUCUUUUCAAGAAUUUGCAUCAACAUCCUAUUACGUAACUUUGAUGGAAGACAACUUCUAGAUGUAUAUUAGAGUACAAUUAAGCAUGCCGUAACUGCUAUAAGCAUCCAAAUAGACACACCACAUGGAAAUUGAUAAACAUGUGAUUAAGGAACCAUAAUUGGCCUGUGUCUCUUUCUCAUACAUGAUAAUUGCCCUCAUUUGUUUGGAUUGAAGAGGGCAAACCUUCCGAAAGAACUGAAGUCUGUCAUGUUAGAUGUUGAGACAUUAAACUUCACUCAUUUUGUUGUUUGCUGCAAGCAUUGAGGAAUUGAAGCUUUCGGCCGUUUUAAGAGUAUAAACGACAUUAUCAACUUUUGCAUUAGUUUUUGUCGUUUCUUUUGUACCAAGGGAAAAACUGAUAUCUUUUGCAUAAUUCCUCCUCCCACAUGCAUUUAAAUAAACUUUUAGAAUCGCCAAACCCAAUUUUGACACUGAAACGUAAACUUCUUGUUAACAUAUGACUUCAUUAUGUGAUCCAAUUUUAAGUAGAUCACCCAAUGGACCAGCAAGCAUAUGAUUAUCCUAUACUAGUAAAUCAAUAAAAAAUAAAUAAACAAAAGAACCCAUCCUGAAGACAAUUCAAUGCCAUGUAGCCAGUAACGAGUGAUAUUUAGUGUAUUCUGCAUUGUAAUCAUGCAAAUUUGGGCACAAUUAGCCGUCCACAAGACUUGAGGAAAUGCCUUAAAAAAUGAAACCCAAACCCAUCUUAUAGCUCAUUUCAUCAUUUUUCAUCAUCUUGAAUAACCAUACCGUCCAAGCUAUAAAGGCUACCAUUUGGUUGGCAACAAGAAGAUGAAGCUUAUUAUGUUAUUAGACAUUUUCCCUUGCAUGAAGCCCUUGAAAUGGCCAAUCAAUCACUCAAGCGGCCACAAGAAGUUGAAAACUUGAAGCAUGCAUGUUUACUGAAACACACUCUUUGUUAGUAGCCCCAAAAUGGACAAUGCUAACCCGGCACAUACAGAGAUAAAUUUCAUCUUAAGAUAUUCAAGGACAUAUGGAUCAAUCAAAUUUCUGUAGCUCAAAAAACUAAAAAAAAAAAAAAAAAAAAUUUGAUAACAAUUCAUACAGCUAAAUUAGCAAAUGGAUAACUGAGAUCAAUUAUAUUAGCCGUUUGGAAUCCAGAGGACAUCCAAAAGGGCUAAACUCUUGAGCUGCCCAAGCACCCCUUAAGUAAUCCAACAAAAUAUAUCCAUAAAGCAUCCUUCUCCAGUUCCAAACUAAACCUAGCACCAUAUCAAUGAUGCAGUUCCCAAGGGUAGAAACUAGAAAGGUUAAAGGAUGAAAGCACCGACCAUAACCGCAUAAACA
rnacentral:lncRNA from 1 species